rnacentral:lncRNA from 1 species
UCACUGUAUUUGUCUGGGUCUCCUUCCUAAAGCUUUAAAAGAAAUAUGUGAUCAGAUGAUCACUGAGAGGAUUCUAAAAUGUUUCUUUAUGAUCUUAAUAUUAUCAAGUGAUCCCAGAUACCCAGAAGCACCUCACUCCUUGCUGUAAAAUUCCAUUUUCUUCCAGCAUAUGCAAUCCUGACUAAAUCCCAAGAGAAAAGGCUUCCAUCCUCUACCCAGCAGCCCAGAUAAGAUUACAGUUUCAAAGAGCCUGUACAUCAGGACACUGAGAAAAGAAAGAAAACCAUGGUUACAACAGAACACAGAAGGAAUAGAAAGAGGAAAUAAAGCAGGUCACUGUCACACAUGGCAUACAACGGGCCAGGCAAUGGUUUACCAUUAAUCCUCACAACAAUCCUUUCACCAAAAAUUACUAUCUAUAUCCUUUUUAUAGGUGAGGUAAAUGACUUGCCUAAUAAUCGUGAUCCACUUAUUUUACAGAACUUGAACCCUGUGGCUUUAAAUUAUGAACUUUUAGAGGCCAGAGCUUCGAGGGGUAACAUUCUUGGAGAAGACAAAGAUUUAAGAGUGGGUCCAAAGAAAGAUCCUAGCCUAUUUGUAGACUGA